rnacentral:sRNA from 1 species
UGAGCCUCAGUUCCAAACAGAAGCCACUGGGCCUUCAGCUCAUGAAGAAACAUCCACCAGGGACUCUGCUCUUCAGGACACAGAUGACAGUGAUGAUGACCCAGUCCUGAUCCCAGGUGCAAGAUAUCGAGCAGGACCUGGUGAUAGACGCUCUGCUGUUGCCCGUAUUCAGGAGUUCUUCAGACGGAGAAAAGAAAGGAAAGAAAUGGAAGAAUUGGAUACUUUGAACAUUAGAAGGCCACUAGUAAAAAUGGUUUAUAAAGGCCAUCGCAACUCCAGGACAAUGGUACCAAAUGUUCAUGGCAUUUUUUGGUGAAAUUGCAGUUUCAUACUCUGAAUGUUUUUCCAUAAUGAUUUAUCUUCAUAUAUUGCCAAUGGGAUUUCAGUAUUACAUUAUUAAAUCUUCAGUUAUCUCUUUAUCCAACAUGGUUCUUUUAGUCCUAUAAUAUAUUGUGAAAGACCAUUAUUUUUUACAAGAAAACUCUACUAAAAAA